rnacentral:lncRNA from 1 species
AUCCCAUCAGGGGAUUGAUUCAUUGAUUGGGUUAAGACUCUCAUAACCUAAUCAUUUCUCCUCUGAACUAUCUUGCAUUGCCUUACACUUGAGCUUUCAGGAGACACCUAAUAUCUAAACCAUAACAAUCAUGUAUAUAAGGGCUGAGGAUGUAGCUCAGUGAUUCAGCUCAUGCUUAGCAUGCACAAGGCCUGGGUUCAAUCCUCAAGACACCCUGCAAUGUGAGAGCAGGUACUUCCCAUUGUCCUCACAGGGGCCAGCUGUGUCAGGUAAAUGCCAAUCCAGGAGACUGAGUUCUUUUCCACUGGUUUCAUUUGACUAUGUCAUUUGGCUUUGGGUUUGGGGAGACACUGAGGAGGAGCUAUAAAUUAAACGAAAGUCAUUACAUUAUUAUGGAUUCCAUUAUGUCUACAAUAGCCUUCUUCCAUUAUCCCAGACAAGUGAAUAGUUACAUAGACUAUUCAAGCAUCUUAGAAUGAGAUGGUAGAAGAGGCCACAGAAGCAUCUUCUGACUUCCAUCAACUCGCUCUUCCAUGUCAACAUCUCUUCACAAAAAAAGGUUAUUUC